GUCGUAAAGACUUGGGACCUACACCAAUAAUCUUAAGUUCAUGUGACCUUUAAUUUGCACCCAAGGUCAAAGGUCACCGAGUGCAAAAAAAAAAUUACGCUUCAAUUUCAACCUUUCAUAUUAAGAAAACGAUAAGAGUUUGCUGCAUACUUACAGCGUAUAAAAUGUUCCUCUCGACGAGCUCUACAUUUUAUACACUGAGCUCAAAAGAGUCCGACUGUCUGUUCAAAAGUUACGACGGGAUGAUUCUUAAAAGUAUAGUAUUGUGUGUAUAUCUUUUUAAAGGUAACAGAUAUCAACCUACUAUAAACUGCAAAGAUGAUCAGUAGUUCAAGACCUUCAAUUUGAUGUCAAUAUCAGGUCAUGAUGAAAUUUCACCUUGACCUUCACAUUAUACUAUGACCUUGACCUUGUGAUAUUUGAAAGGUCAAGUGGUCCUGAGUUGAAUGGUGAUAGUCCCAUGUCUCUAUGACUUCCGGUUCUCAAGUUUUGUAUUGCAUCAUAUAUUUGAUGAUUAAUUGUGACCUUGGUGAACUUUGAAAUUGUCCCAAUUCUUUUUCUAUAAUGUUGUCCUUCAACUGUAGAUCAUUUAUCAUUUAACAGAUUUGAGAUAUCUAUUGUCGUUUUAGAGAUAAUGCAGUUUGAAGUUUUGCGAGCGGCGACAUGUAUUUCUGAAUCAUCAAGAGCUUACCACUUAAAAUGUUUUAGAAAUUGAAGAGGUUGACAUAGUUAUAUGUUUCACAAAAUACCAAAAAGAUUCCAUGGAAAAAAA
rnacentral:lncRNA from 1 species